rnacentral:lncRNA from 1 species
ACCAGUGAUGGAAAUGUGUUCCGAAAAUAUGUUUAAUAUAAUUUGGCACAACUGAAGUGAUAAAAAUAUAGUAGUUAGACCAUUUAUAUUCACAAUUAUUUAACAUUGUAUCUUAUUUUCUACCUCAAAUGAUUUAAUCUUUUCCAUAUUGGUAUGGUCCUGGCCGAUAACUCUUUGUGUGGCAGCCUGAGAGAAUAUGGAAGACACUGUCAGUGUUGGAAGAUGGUGGUUUUAUCACUUUUCAUUGCACUGUCUUUAAAACAUGGGCAAAUUGACUAAAAGAAGACUACAGAAGAAAUAAUGGUGAUUGUGAAUUUGAAUGAAAACCAUGUAGCUGGUCUUAUUAUUCUCUAAUCAUGAAGACCAUUAUUGUUAUUUGUGGACUAAGGAGCAGAAAGACUGAUAGUGGACAUAGGCCAGCUGAUUUAAUAAUUUAAGAAAGAACUGUUAUCCUGAGUAAGGAGCAUAGAGACAAAUAUAAAAUGAACGCACUCUACCUGAUUUAAUUAUAGUCUUCUGGUGAAGAUCUUGCUGUUAUCUCUGUGAAUCAGGAGAGAAGAGAUUGAUAAGGAAUAGACGAGAUUGGAUUUGGUCAUUUCCCCAAGGUGAAGAGCAUGGCGAUUUCUUCUGUGGUAAGGAGCAAUAAUGAAGACCAUGGUUGAUUUAAUCAGUCUCUGCUGAUGAAGAUCUUGGCUGUUACCUUUGUGUAAUGAAUGCGCAAUGAUUCAAUUAUUCUCCAGCGAGGAAGAUCAUGGUUGUUGUCUGUUUGAGUAAUGAGUGUAGAAACCUAUAAUGGAGGCGUGAUGGCUGAUGCAAUCAUUUUCCACUGAUGAAGGUUUUGAUGGCCACCUGUAAUGAACAGCCCCAUCUGAUUUAAUCACUGUGCAAUGACCGUGAACUGUACAGUUACCUCCGUGUGUCACAGGAAGACUCUUUUGACUUAAGCACCCUUCCAUGGUCAUGAGGUUUCUGGUUGCCUCUGUGUGUUAGAAGCUUGGAGACCAAUGCCUUCUGCUGUGAUCGCGUUCUCCACAGUUGCCUCUGGGUAGGAGCCUGGACACUAAUAGAAAAUGGAUGCACUUGAGCCGACCUAAGCAUUCAUGGUCAUGAGAUUUGUGGUUGCCACUGUUGGUUAGGAGCAUAGAGAUCAGUAAUGGACACACCUGGGCUGGCAGAACAUCUUGCCUUGAUCUGGAGCCCCAUGUCUGCCCCUCUGUAGAGGUGCACAUGGGCCAAUGAUGGAUGCAAUGAGCUGAUCAUUUUGCUGUGAUCAAGGCUAUGUUGCCUCUGUGUUAGGCCAAUAAUGGACAG